UUUGAAAAAAAAUUGUUUUAUUGUAUAUGUAAAUGUUCUGUAUAAUACAAUGCCAUGACAAACAAAUCACAAAACAAAAAAAAAUAUAUAUUCUAGGAUUGUAGACUGUACAUACUGAUGCCUACCAUUCUGUCACUCUAAAACCUUGUACACUGUACAAACCAAACAACUGGACAAAGUGCAAGGACAAACAGUUAUUUGUAAAAGAUGAAAUUAUUUGUAUAGAAAUUUAAAGGUUACAAUGAAAUACCAAAUUAGGAAGGAAAAAUUAAAACGUCACACUAAUAAUAUACAAUUCAUUUAUAAGUUGCUCAAAUAUGAGAAUAUAAAAUGUAGUUAUCAAAUCAACAAGAAGGUAUUUUAAAUCAUUUUAUAUGAUAAUAUAUAUUAUAUAUAUUUACUUAUUAUAUGUAUAUAUAAUUAUUAUAUCGAACAUAGUAUUACUUAUGUACAGUAUUACACCAGCAUAUUCAAUGCUGCCAAUACAAAAUGUAUCAUGUCUUUUUAGGUCCUAACCUUAGCUAUCUAAGUGAAAUGAACCCAUUGAACCCAAGUGGUCAGAUAUUUGUCUUUUUUAGGUCCUAAUCUAAGUGACAUGUAGAUAAUUGUCUUUUUAGGUCCUAAUCUAAGUGACAUGUAC